rnacentral:rRNA from 1 species
ACGGCUCAGUAACACGUCGGUAACCUACCCUCGGGAGGGGGAUAACCCCGGGAAACUGGGGCUAAUUCCCCAUAGGCCUGAGGUACUGGAAGGUCCUCAGGCCGAAAGGGUCUUAUGUCCGCCCGAGGAUGGGCCGGCGGCCGAUUAGGUAGUUGGUGGGGUAAUGGCCCACCAAGCCGAAGAUCGGUACGGGCUGUGAGAGCAGGAGCCCGGAGAUGGACACUGAGACACGGGUCCAGGCCCUACGGGGCGCAGCAGGCGCGAAACCUCCGCAAUGCGGGAAACCGCGACGGGGGGACCCCGAGUGCCGUGGCAACGCCACGGCUUUUCCGGAGUGUAAAAAGCUCCGGGAAUAAGGGCUGGGCAAGGCCGGUGGCAGCCGCCGCGGUAAUACCGGCGGCCCGAGUGGUGGCCGCUAUUAUUGGGCCUAAAGCGUCCGUAGCCGGGCCCGUAAGUCCCUGGCGAAAUCCCACGGCUCAACCGUGGGGCUUGCUGGGGAUACUGCGGGUCUUGGGACCGGGAGAGGCGGGGGGUACCCCUGGGGUAGGGGUGAAAUCCUAUAAUCCCAGGGGGACCGCCAGUGGCGAAGGCGCCCCGCUGGAACGGGUCCGACGGUGAGGGACGAAGGCCAGGGGAGCAAACCGGAUUAGAUACCCGGGUAGUCCUGGCUGUAAAGGAUGCGGGCUAGGUGUCGGGUGAGCCUCGAGCUCGCCCGGUGCCGUAGGGAAGCCGUUAAGCCCGCCGCCUGGGGAGUACGGCCGCAAGGCUGAAACUUAAAGGAAUUGGCGGGGGAG